AGGACGAACGCUGGCGGCGCGCUUAACACAUGCAAGUCGAACGUGAAGCCGGGCUUGCCCGGUGGAAAGUGGCGAACGGGUGCGUAACACGUGAGCAACCUGCCCCGAAGACUGGGAUAACACCGGGAAACCGGUGACUAAUACCGGAUACCUUCUUCCGAUCGCAUGGUUGGACGAAGAAAUGGAUUCCGCUUCGGGAUGGGCUCGCGGCCUAUCAGCUUGUUGGUGGAGUAACGGCCCACAAGGCGACGACGGGUA
rnacentral:rRNA from 1 species